UCGGUGAGGGCUCCAGCUUGUCUGAAUUAUUCACCCAUGUCUUUUGCGCACUUCUUGUUUCCUGGGCGGGUUCGCCCGCCACCAGGACCAAACCAUAAACCUUUUUGUAAUUGCAAUCAGCGUCAGUAAACAAUGUAAUUAUUACAACUUUCAACAACGGAUCUCUUGGUUCUGGCAUCGAUGAAGAACGCAGCGAAAUGCGAUACGUAGUGUGAAUUGCAGAAUUCAGUGAAUCAUCGAAUCUUUGAACGCACAUUGCGCCCUUUGGUAUUCCAAAGGGCAUGCCUGUUCGAGCGUCAUUUGUACCCUCAAGCUUUGCUUGGUGUUGGGCGUCUUUGUCUCUCACGAGACUCGCCUUAAAAUGAUUGGCAGCCGACCUACUGGUUUCGGAGCGCAGCACAAUUCUUGCACUUUGAAUCAGCCUUGGUUGAGCAUCCAUCAAGACACAUUUUUUUUUCAACUUUUGACCUCGGAUCAGGUAGGGAUACCCGCUGAACUUAAGCAUAUCAAUAAGCGGAGGA
rnacentral:rRNA from 1 species